GACGAACGCUGGCGGCGUGCUUAACACAUGCAAGUCGAACGGAAAGGCCUCUUUCGGGGGGUACUCGAGUGGCGAACGGGUGAGUAAUACGUGAGUAACCUGCCCUUGACUUUGGGAUAACUUCAGGAAACUGGGGCUAAUACCGGAUAGGAGCUCCUGCUGCAUGGUGGGGGUUGGAAAGUUUCGGCGGUUGGGGAUGGACUCGCGGCUUAUCAGCUUGUUGGUGGGGUAGUGGCUUACCAAGGCUUUGACGGGUAGCCGGCCUGAGAGGGUGACCGGCCACAUUGGGACUGAGAUACGGCCCAGACUCCUACGGGAGGCAGCAGUGGGGAAUAUUGCACAAUGGGUGGAAGCCUGAUGCAGCAACGCCGUGUGCGGGAUGACGGCCUUCGGGUUGUAAACCGCUUUCGCUCAUGACGAAGCUUUGUGUGACGGUAGUGGGUAAAGAAGCACCGGCUAACUACGUG
rnacentral:rRNA from 1 species